rnacentral:rRNA from 1 species
GACGAACGCUGGCGGCGUGCCUAAUACAUGCAAGUAGAACGCAGUUGCGAACGGGUGAGUAACGCGUAGGUAACUGCCUCAUAGCGGGGGAUAACUCUUGGAAACGAUAGCUAAUACCGCAUACUGUGAGAUGGACCUGCGUUGUAUUAGCUAGUUGGUGAGGUAAAGGCUCACCAUGGCGACGAUACCUAGCCGACCUGAGAGGGUGAUUCGCCACCCUUGGACUGUGAAACGGCCCCGACUCCCUCGGGAGGCAGCAGGUGGGAAUCUUUGGCCAUUGACGGAAGUCUGACCGCGCAACGCCGCGUGAGUGAAGAAGGUUUUCGGAGCGUUAAGCUCUGUUGUUAGAGAAGCGUUACCUACCCAGAAAGGGACGGCUAACUACGUGCCAGCAGCCGCGGUAAUAC